rnacentral:rRNA from 1 species
AGAACGAACGCUGGCGGCAGGCUUAACACAUGCAAGUCGAACGGUUGUAGCAAUACAGCAGUGGCAGACGGGUGAGUAACACGUGGGAACCUUCCUAGGGGUACGGAACAACUCAGGGAAACUUGAGCUAAUACCGUAUACGUCCGUGAGGAGAAAGAUUUAUCGCCCCUAGACGGGCCCGCGUAGGAUUAGGUAGUUGGUGAGGUAACGGCUCACCAAGCCUACGAUCCUUAGCUGAUCUGAGAGGAUGAUCAGCCACACUGGGACUGAGACACGGCCCAGACUCCUACGGGAGGCAGCAGUGGGGAAUCUUGGACAAUGGGCGCAAGCCUGAUCCAGCCAUGCCGCGUGAGUGAAGAAGGCCUUCGGGUUGUAAAGCUCUUUUACCAGGGACGAUAAUGACGGUACCUGGAGAAUAAGCCCGGCAAACUCGUGCCAGCAGCCG